UCGAACGGAGAUUAAGUAGCUUGCUAUUUAAUCUUAGUGGCGCACGGGUGAGUAAUAUAUAGCUAACUUGCCCAUUACUAAGGGACAACAGUUGGAAACGACUGCUAAUACCUUAUACUCCGUAUCUAUAUAAGUAGAUACGGGAAAGUUUUUCGGUAAUGGAUAGGGCUAUAUCGUAUCAGCUAGUUGGUAAGGUAAUGGCUUACCAAGGCUAUGACGCGUAACUGGUCUGAGAGGAUGAUCAGUCACACUGGAACUGAGACACGGUCCAGACUCCUACGGGAGGCAGCAGUAGGGAAUAUUGCUCAAUGGGGGAAACCCUGAAGCAGCAACGCCGCGUGGAGGAUGACACUUUUCGGAGCGUAAACUCCUUUUCUUGGGAAAGAAUUAUGACGGUACCCAAGGAAUAAGCACCGGCUAACUCCGUGCCAGCAGCCGCGGUAAUACGGAGGGUGCAAGCGUUACUCGGAAUCACUGGGCGUAAAGGACGCGUAGGCGGAUUAUCAAGUCUCUUGUGAAAUCUAACGGCUUAACCGUUAAACUGCUUGGGAAACUGAUAAUCUAGAGUAAGGGAGAGGCAGAUGGAAUUCUUGGUGUAGGGGUAAAAUCCGUAGAGAUCAAGAAGAAUACCCAUUGCGAAAGCGAUCUGCUGGAACUUAACUGACGCUAAUGCGUGAAAGCGUGGGGAGCAAACAGGAUU
rnacentral:rRNA from 1 species